CAGUAGCCGCGGUAAAACGAGGGGGGCAAGCGUUGUUCGGAAUUAUUGGGCGUAAAGCGCACGUAGGCGGAUAUUUAAGUCAGGGGUGAAAUCCCGCAGCUCAACUGCGGAACUGCCUUUGAUACUGGGUAUCUUGAGUAUGGAAGAGGUUAGUGGAAUUGCGAGUGUAGAGGUGAAAUUCGUAGAUAUUCGCAGGAACACCAGUGGCGAAGGCGGCUAACUGGUCCAUAACUGACGCUGAGGUGCGAAAGCGUGGGGAGCAAACAGGAUUAGAUACCCCUGUAGUCCCUGUCUCUUAUAC
rnacentral:rRNA from 1 species